rnacentral:tRNA from 1 species
GUACUGGUGGCUCAGCGGUAGAAUUCCUGCCUGCUACGCGGGAGGCCCAUGUGCGACUCCCGGCCAGUGCA